GACGAACGCUGGCGGCGUGCUUAACACAUGCAAGUCGAACGGAAAGGCCCUGCUGUUGUGGGGUGCUCGAGUGGCGAACGGGUGAGUAACACGUGAGUAACCUGCCCUUGACUUUGGGAUAACUUCAGGAAACUGGGGCUAAUACCGGAUAGGAGCUCCUGCUGCAUGGUGGGGGUUGGAAAGUUUCGGCGGUUGGGGAUGGACUCGCGGCUUAUCAGCUUGUUGGUGGGGUAGUGGCUUACCAAGGCUUUGACGGGUAGCCGGCCUGAGAGGGUGACCGGCCACAUUGGUACUGAGAUACCGACCAGUCUCCUACGGGAGGCAGCAGUGGGGAAUAUUGCACAAUGGGCGGAAGCGUGAUGCAGCAACGUCGCGUGCGGGAUGACGGCCUUCUGGUGGUAAACCGCUUUCGCCUGUGACGAAGCGUGAGUGACGGUAACGGGUAAAGAAGCACCGGCUAACUACGUG
rnacentral:rRNA from 1 species